rnacentral:rRNA from 1 species
CAGCAGCCGCGGUAAUACGAAGGGUGCAAGCGUUAAUCGGAAUUACUGGGCGUAAAGCAUGCGUAGGCGGUGAGUUAAGUCUGCUGUGAAAUCCCCGGGCUCAACCUGGGAAUGGCAGUGGAUACUGGCUCGCUAGAGUGUGUCAGAGGAUGGUGGAAUUCCCGGUGUAGCGGUGAAAUGCGUAGAGAUCGGGAGGAACAUCAGUGGCGAAGGCAACUGCCUGGGCCUGAUCUGACACUGAGGCACGAAAGCGUGGGUAGCAAACAGGAUUAGAGACCCCGGUAGUCCCUGUCUCUUAUAC